rnacentral:rRNA from 1 species
UACAGAGGGUGCAAGCGUUAAUCGGAAUUACUGGGCGUAAAGCGUGCGUAGUCGGUUAUUUAAGUCGGGUGUGAAAGCCCCGGGCUCAACCUGGGAAUUGCAUUCGAUACUGGAUAGCUAGAGUUCGGCAGAGGGGGGUAGAAUUCCACGUGUAGCAGUGAAAUGCGUAGAGAUGUGGAGGAACACCGAUGGCGAAGGCAGCCCCCUGGGUCAAGAUUGACGCUCAUGCACGAAAGCGUGGGGAGCAAACAGG